UACGGAGGGUGCAAGCGUUAUCCGGAUUCACUGGGUUUAAAGGGUGCGUAGGCGGGCAGGUAAGUCCGUGGUGAAAUCUCUGAGCUUAACUCAGAAACUGCCAUGGAUACUAUUUGUCUUGAAUAUUGUGGAGGUAAGCGGAAUAUGUCAUGUAGCGGUGAAAUGCUUAGAUAUGACAUAGAACACCAAUUGCGAAGGCAGCUUACUACACAGUUAUUGACGCUGAGGCACGAAAGCGUGGGGUUCAAACAGG
rnacentral:rRNA from 1 species